AACGAACGCUGGCGGCAUGCCUAACACAUGCAAGUCGAACGGGAGCUUCGUGUGUGGUUGCGCACGGGUGCGUAACGUGGCGGACGCGUGCCGUAGGCUCGGAAUAACACCUCUUAGGGGGGGCUAAUGCCGGAUAACUUACGCUGAUAAAAGAUUGAUCGUCCUGGUGUGAGCAGGGGUUGUAUGAGCUAGUUGGUAGUGUAAAAGCCUACGAAGGCGACGAUACAUAGCUGGGCACAGAGGCUGAUCAGCCACACUGGGUCUGAGACACGGCCCAGAAUCCUGGGGGAUGCAGGAAAGGGGAAUAUUGGAAUAUGGGCGAAGGCAUGAUCCAGCAAUGCCGCGUGAGUGAUGAAGGCCUUAGGGUUGUAAAGCACUUUUACACGGGAUUAUACUGACAGUACCGGGAGAAUAAGCUCCGGCUAACUCCGUG
rnacentral:rRNA from 1 species